rnacentral:rRNA from 1 species
GACGUAGGGCGCGAGCGUUGUCCGGAUUUAUUGGGCGUAAAGAGCUCGUAGGUGGCUCGUCGCGUCCAUCGUGAAAACCUGCCGCUUAACGGUGGGCUUGCGGUGGAUACGGGUGGGCUGGAGUUCGGUAGGGGAGACUGGAAUUCCUGGCGUAGCGGUGAAAUGCGCAGAUAUCAGGAGGAACACCGGUGGCGAAGGCGGGUCUCUGGGCCGAUACUGACGCUGAGGAGCGAAAGCGUGGGGAGCGAACAGGAUUAGAAACCCUGGUAGU